rnacentral:rRNA from 1 species
GAUGAACGCUGGCGGCGUGCCUAAUACAUGCAAGUCGAACGGGGAGUAGCAAUACUCUUAGUGGCGAACGGGUGAGUAACGCGUUGGUACCUGCCCCGAAGCGGGGGAUAACGGACCGAAAGGUCCGCUAAUACCCCAUGUGCUCGGUAACGAGUAAAGGUGAAAACCACUUUGGGAGGGGCCUGCGUCCCAUCAGCUAGUUGGUAAGGUAACGGCUUACCAAGGCGAUGACGGGUAGGGGACCUGAGAGGGUGGCCCCCCACAAUGGAACUGAAACACGGUCCAUACACCUACGGGUGGCAGCAGUAGGGAAUAUUGGUAAUGGGCGCAAGCCUGAACCAGCAACGCCGCGUGUGCGAUGACGGCCUUCGGGUUGUAAAGCACUUUUGACGGGGACGAGGAAGGACGGUACCGGUCGAAUCAGCCUCGGCUAACUACGUG